rnacentral:rRNA from 1 species
CCUACGGGGGGCUGCAGUGGGGAAUAUUGGACAAUGGGGGGAACCCUGAUCCAGCCAUGCCGCGUGUGUGAAGAAGGCCCUCGGGUUGUAAAGCACUUUCAGUGAGGAAGAACGCCUGGUGGUUAAUACCCAUCAGGAAAGACAUCACUCACAGAAGAAGCACCGGCUAACUCCGUGCCAGCAGCCGCGGUAAUACGGAGGGUGCGAGCGUUAAUCGGAAUUACUGGGCGUAAAGCGCGCGUAGGUGGCUUGAUAAGCCGGUUGUGAAAGCCCCGGGCUCAACCUGGGAACGGCAUCCGGAACUGUCAAGCUAGAGUGCAGGAGAGGAAGGUAGAAUUCCCGGGGUAGCGGUGAAAUGCGUAGAGAUCGGGAGGAAUACCAGUGGCGAAGGCGGCCUUCUGGACUGACACUGACACUGAGGUGCGAAAGCGUGGGUAGCAAACAGGAUUAGAUACCCUUGUAGUC